GAGGGUAUAGCUCAAGUGGUAGAGCACAUGCUUAGCAUGCACAAGGUCCUGGGUUCAAUCCCCAAUACCUCCU
rnacentral:tRNA from 1 species